rnacentral:rRNA from 1 species
AUUGAACGCUGGCGGCAGGCCUAACACAUGCAAGUCGAGCGAGCGGCGGGCGGGUGAGUAAAGUGUGGGGACUGCCCGAGAGAGAGGGGUAACUACUGGAAAAGGUAGCUAAUACCCCAUACUAUCGGAUAACCCAUAUGGGAUUAGCUAGUAGGUGAGGGAAUGGCUCACCUAGGCGACGAUCCCUCGCUGGUCUGAGAGGAUGAUCAGCCACACUGGGACUGAGACACGGCCCAGACUCCUACGGAGGCAGCAGUGGGGAAUAUUGCACAAUGGGCGCAAGCCCGAUGCAGCCAUGCCGCGUGUAUGAAGAAGGCCCUAGGGUUGUAAAGUACUUUCAGUGGGGAGGCGUUACCGACAGAAGAAGCACCGGCUAACUCCGUGCCAGCAGCCGCGGUAAUUC